rnacentral:rRNA from 1 species
UGCGUCUUUCUGUCGGGACGCGCUUCUGGCCUUAUUGGCUGGGACGUGGAUUCACGAGGUUACUUUGAAAAAAUUAGAGUGUUCAAGCAAGCUAAAGCUCUGAAUACAUUAGCAUGGAAUAACGCGAGAGGACUCGGUCCUUAUUUUGUUGGUCUUCAAGGAUGGAGUAAUGAUUAAGAGGGACAGUUGGGGGCAUUCGUAUUUCAUUGCUAGAGGUGAAAUUCUUGGAUUUAUGAAAGACGAACUUCUGCGAAAGCAUUUGCCAAGGAUGUUUUCAUUGAUCAAGAACGAAAGUUGGGGGCUCGAAGAUGAUCAGAUACCAUCCUAGUCUCAACCAUAAACGAUGCCGACUAGGGAUUGGCAGGUGUUACAUCGAUGACUCUGCCAGCACCUUAUGAGAAAUCAAAGUUUUUGGGUUCCGGGGGGAGUAUGGCGCAAGGCUGAAACUUAAGAAUUGACGGAAGGGCACCCCAGGAGUGGAGCCUGCGGCUUAAUU